AAAAAAAAUCAAGCUUUAAGUUAUAAUAAAUCUCCUUAAAAAUAUGCUAACAUACGACUAACAAUGUAAAACUUAUAAAUCUUUAGUUUUUAUUUGUUCAUGUAACUUAUUUCUGGCUAGAAUCAUGGAUAGUAGAACAUUUAAAGGUACAACAAACGGAUACACAAAUCAAAAUAUUGAUUGUAUUGAUGACUUAUGUUAUGAUUUAUUCAAAAACACAGAUGAUAGACAGAAUGACUAUAUUGAGGAUUUGCCUUCGGUGGAAUUGAACCUGGCCUGCUCAGGUUCAACUUCUAAUAGUGGCUCCCAAAAAACUAGGACAAAUACAAAGAAGACACAAGAAAAGACAGUGCAAGGUAGUAUUAAAAAUAAAAAAUCUGACAGAGAAAAUGCGAAACAAAAGUUAGCGGAAGAGAAGGCUGCAAAGAAGCAGAUUCAAGAAUUAAAUAAGAUUUAUAAACCUGGUGAAUGUAUGAAGUAUAUGCAAGUAGAGGUGCACCCAUCUUUAUUGGAGAAGUGGUAUGCGGGUGACAUAGAACGGGAAGUAUCUGCCAGUGGAGCAAAGGUUAUCACAUCUAUUGACUUAUUUGAUCCUUGUCUGGUCUUAUGGAAGCGGAGUGUACCGCAAACAUUGGUUUCUAAAGAUGGACAAUUAGAUAUGACACCUCGUCAUGAGGUCAGUGAUCGUGGACUCUAUGUGAUGAUGGCUGCAGACGCUGCACAAUACAUAUGUGAACACAAGUUGUCACAACAAAUUGCUACCGUUAGUGAAAUAGUUAAUGUUAAACUGACUCUAAUUAUAUUCGGUGAACAGGAGUAUUUCAAGACCGCUUCAAAGAAGACAAAAGGAAACAACCAAGUUAUGAGUGAAGUGGACUUAGAAAUGGCUAUCUCAGAUCUCCUUGUCAGUACAGGAUGUGACACAGUUAUUGUGAACCAAGCCAAUGAACUUGCGUUACUCAUUGUGCAGUUCACUAAAGCGAUUGCCGAAGCACCAUAUAAGUAUGCAGUUGAAACGCGCUUGCGACGAGCAAGCGGACUUCUACAUGCGUGGAGAUAAUAAGAAAUGUGUUUCAGUAGAUAAAGAUGGUAACGGAUUGAGUUGUCUGUGGCAGCAAAUGCUAGCGGUGUUGCCACAAAGCAGCUUGGAGACAUCGCGUGCUUUGUGUGCACAGUAUAAAACUCCGUUGGACUUGUAUGAGAUCUUAAUGCAGCCGGAAGGUGUAAAGGCAGUGGCCGAGUUAGGAGUGUCUCGCUCUGCUGUCCCGGGCAGUAGAGCUCGCAGGAUCGGACCUGAAUUUGCCAGAAAAUUACACACCCUACUCACUGCUGAAGAUGGAAAUAUGUUAAUUGAAUAGUACCUAUGUAUUUUGUUGACAAAUAAAUUAUUUCAUUACAAGACAAUAAAGACAAUAGAAACUGAUA